rnacentral:pre_miRNA from 1 species
CAACCCGCAGAACUGAAACAAGUUGAGAAAUGCUCAUCUCUUUGUAGUUUUUAUGGGUGGUCGAAGCGAACAUAGGUGGAGACCCAAGUUCGGCUUUUAGUUGCAAGGCCAUGGAGAAGCUCAAAACCCUCAAACUUUGAGGGCAAAAUGGGCAAAGGAUUUCUCAACUUGUUUCAGUUUUGCAUG